ACCGAAUAGGGGAGCCGAAGGGAAACCGAGUCUUAACUGGGCGUUAAGUUGCAGGGUAUAGACCCGAAACCCGGUGAUCUAGCCAUGGGCAGGUUGAAGGUUGGGUAACACUAACUGGAGGACCGAACCGACUAAUGUUGAAAAAUUAGCGGAUGACUUGUGGCUGGGGGUGAAAGGCCAAUCAAACCGGGAGAUAGCUGGUUCUCCCCGAAAGCUAUUUAGGUAGCGCCUCGUGAAUUCAUCUCCGGGGGUAGAGCACUGUUUCGGCAAGGGGGUCAUCCCGACUUACCAACCCGAUGCAAACUGCGAAUACCGGAGAAUGUUAUCACGGGAGACACACGGCGGGUGCUAACGUCCGUCGUGAAGAGGGAAACAACCCAGACCGCCAGCUAAGGUCCCAAAGUCAUGGUUAAGUGGGAAACGAUGUGGGAAGGCCCAGACAGCCAGGAUGUUGGCUUAGAAGCAGCCAUCAUUUAAAGAAAGCGUAAUAGCUCACUGGUCGAGUCGGCCUGCGCGGAAGAUGUAACGGGGCUAAACCAUGCACCGAAGCUGCGGCAGCGACGCUUAUGCGUUGUUGGGUAGGGGAGCGUUCUGUAAGCCUGCGAAGGUGUGCUGUGAGGCAUGCUGGAGGUAUCAGAAGUGCGAAUGCUGACAUAAGUAACGAUAAAGCGGGUGAAAAGCCCGCUCGCCGGAAGACCAAGGGUUCCUGUCCAACGUUAAUCGGGGCAGGGUGAGUCGACCCCUAAGGCGAGGCCGAAAGGCGUAGUCGAUGGGAAACAGGUUAAUAUUCCUGUACUUGGUGUUACUGCGAAGGGGGGACGGAGAAGGCUAUGUUGGCCGGGCGACGGUUGUCCCGGUUUAAGCGUGUAGGCUGGU
rnacentral:rRNA from 1 species